rnacentral:rRNA from 1 species
UACAGAGGGUGCAAGCGUUAAUCGGAAUUACUGGGCGUAAAGCGUGCGUAGGCGGUUAUUUACGUCAGGUGUGAAAGCCCAGGGCUCAACCUUGGAAUUGCAUUUGAGACUGAAUAGCUAGGGUGCGGAAGAGGGAAGCGGAAUUUCCGGUGUAGCGGUGAAAUGCGUAGAUAUCGGAAGGAACACCAGUGGCGAAAGCGGCUUCCUGGUCCAGCACCGACGUUCAGGCACGAAAGCGUGGGGAGCAAACAGG